rnacentral:rRNA from 1 species
AAUCAACGCUGGCGGCGUGCCUAACACAUGCAAGUCGAACGCGAAAGGGGCUUCGGCCCUGAGUAGAGUGGCGAACGGGUGAGUAACACGUGGGUGAUCUACCUUCGAGUGGGGGAUAACGUCCCGAAAGGGACGCUAAUACCGCAUGACGUUCUGGGUUUAAAGACCUGGAAACCAAAGCCGGGGACCGCAAGGCCUGGCGCUUGGAGAGGAGCCCGCGUCCGAUUAGCUAGUUGGCGGGGUAAUGGCCCACCAAGGCGACGACGGGGUAGCCGGCCUGAGGAGGG